UUGCGAGUUUCUCUAGUUCCCAUGGAACACUGCAUAACUCGUUUUUUCCAGGAGUGCGAUGCUGACAAGGAUAAGCAUGUCUCUUUGAUGGAGUGGUGCCACUGCUUCGGAAUUAAAGAAGAAGACAUAUAUGAAAGCCUUCUAUUCUGAACUGAGUGGAAUAGAGUUCCAGCACCCUGUUCUCAUACCAGUGAAGCCAUCCAUGAUACUGUUAGAUUAACAUUUGAAUAGGCAGUUUACAUAAAGUUUUUCUGGAGAUUGAUGGGAUUACUCCCAAACAAAACAAACUAAUAAAUAAAUAAUUCUAACUCAAUUAACAGAAGCAGAAUCUAACAACUUGUCACGCGACAUAUCUAAAUGUUUGUUUCCUGCCUGGAGUUUAACAAACCAUAUUAUCGCUCUAUACACAAUUGAAAGAAUUGAGCACAUUGUAGAAUUCUUCAGAAUACUAUUUAAAUAGAUUUCUAUUGUGUGGUAUACAGCAGAAAACUAGAGAGAGGAAAACUUUAUUGUUGAUUUUUAAAACUACAUUGCCAGUUUCUUAACAUUCUAAUAAAGAGUGUGUCAAUUAAAAAGCGUACCUGGAUUCACCACCUUUUGAAAACCUUGUUUAAAAGAAUAGGCAUCGGCACAAAUGUUUAAUGCACAUAUUAUUUUAAACUGAUCAGUAGGUGAGAAGAGAACACACAGCAUGCAUGAUGUCUCAAGUGCCAUCUUUUAAAAGCCUUAUAGCACCAGUACUUUAACUUCCAUACUUAAAAGUUCAGCACCCCUAUUCAGGGAAUCUGCCACUUUGUCAAUACUGUACAUUAAUUUAUAAUAGAUUUCUUUAACUAAGGUUAAUAAAGCAACUUUUUUUUUUAAUCCUUCCUGAGGCACUGGUCCGACAUACAAAUCUGUACAGGGUGUUCCUGAAACCAUGUGCAAUCAAUGGAGUUCUGCAUGAAAUCAGGGGUUUGUGCAUAUGAAGUUAUUUGUAGCAUAGGGAUUUUAUAUUCUUCCUUCCCACCUCCCUAGCUCCU
rnacentral:lncRNA from 1 species